rnacentral:rRNA from 1 species
AGUUAUGUAUCAUGAUUUACCAUCUCGCAUCGAUGAGAUAACGCAGGAAAAUGCUAUAGUAAUGUGAAUUGCAGAAAUCCGUGAAUCGUCAAAUCUUUGAACACACAUUGCGCCCUUUGCUAUACCAGGGGGAAUGCCUGUGAGACCGCAC